rnacentral:rRNA from 1 species
GACGAACGCUGGCGGCGCGCCUAACACAUGCAAGUCGAGCGAUGAAAUUUUAACCGAUCUCUUCGGAGAGAAGAGAAAGUGGAUUAGCGGCGGACGGGUGAGUAACACGUGAGAAACCUGCCUUUCACAAGGGGAUAGCCUCGGGAAACCGGGAUUAAUACACUAUGACACAUUUCUUUCGCAUGGAAGAAAUGUUAAAACUCCGAUGGUGAAAGAUGGUCUCGCGCCUGAUUAGCUAGUUGGUGGGGUACCGGCCCACCAAGGCCAGGACGAGUAACCGGCCUGAGAGGCUGAACCGUCACACUUGAACGGGGACACGGUCCAAACUCCUACGCGAGGCAGCAGUGGGGGAUAUUGCACAACGGAGUGAACUCUGAUGCAGCGACGCCGCGUGAGCGCUGAAGGCUUUCGAGUCGUAAAGCGCUGUCCUAUGGGAAGAUAAUGACGGUACCAUAGGAGGAAGCCCCGGCUAACUACGUG